GACGAACGCUGGCGGCGUGCUUAACACAUGCAAGUCGAACGGGUCUGCCCUGUUUUUUGCGGGGUGGGUCAGUGGCGAACGGGUGAGUAACGCGUGAGUAACCUGCCCCUCACUUCUGGAUAACCGCUUGAAAGGGUGGCUAAUACGGGGUGUUCUGGCUGUGCCGCAUGGUGUGGCUGGGAAAGAUUCACUUUUGUGGUGUUUUGGUGGGGGAUGGGCUCGCGGCCUAUCAGCUUGUUGGUGGGGUGAUGGCCUGCCAAGGCUUUGACGGGUAGCCGGCCUGAGAGGGUGGGCGGUCACACUGGGACUGAGAUACGGCCCAGACUCCUGCGGGAGGCAGCAGUGGGGGGUAGUGCACAAUGGGCGGAAGCCUGAUGCAGCGACGUCGCGUGAGGGAUGGAGGCCUUCGGGUUGUGAACCUCUUUCGCCGGUGAAGAAGGUCCUGCUCUUUGGGGUGGGGUUGACGGUAGCCGGGUUAUGAAGCGCCGGCUAACUACGUG
rnacentral:rRNA from 1 species